rnacentral:rRNA from 1 species
CCUACGGGUGGCUGCAGUGGGGAAUAUUGGACAAUGGGGGCAACCCUGAUCCAGCCAUGCCGCGUGUGUGAAGAAGGCCCUCGGGUUGUAAAGCACUUUCAGUGAGGAAGAACGCCUGGUGGUUAAUACCCAUCAGGAAAGACAUCACUCACAGAAGAAGCACCGGCUAACUCCGUGCCAGCAGCCGCGGUAAUACGGAGGGUGCGAGCGUUAAUCGGAAUUACUGGGCGUAAAGCGCGCGUAGGUGGCUUGAUAAGCCGGUUGUGAAAGCCCCGGGCUCAACCUGGGAACGGCAUCCGGAACUGUCAAGCUAGAGUGCAGGAGAGGAAGGUAGAAUUCCCGGUGUAGCGGUGAAAUGCGUAGAGAUCGGGAGGAAUACCAGUGGCGAAGGCGGCCUUCUGGACUGACACUGACACUGAGGUGCGAAAGCGUGGUAGCAAACAGGAUUAGAUACCCGAGUAGUC